GUCUUUUACAAUGCUUUCAUCCUUUUUAUUGUUUUCUCAUGUAACGGCUAUACAUUACGGAAAUGGACGAAAUUUCCGUCCCUGAAAAUUGUGGUUUAAUGGAUAAUUAUAUGUUAAACACUAAACUUUUAAUGCUCCAUUUGAUACGAUAGAAAUGAGUUUGAGAAGAGAAAGCGAAAAAAAAUGCAGUCAAUCUUGGAUUACUUCUUUCUCCUCUCAUGAGAAAAGGGUAGAGGAAGAAAAAAUCACCUUAUUUCUCUCUUUCCACUAUCCUUUCUCAGGAUUUCUCUCUUUUUGAGUUCUUCUUUCCGGGAUAAAAAUUGAAGCACCAGAAACUUGAGACUUAAAUUAAUGUUCUUCUUGUAUCUGUUGUAAUUGUUGUUUUUGCUUCUUGAUCUUGCGGAUGCUAGAUCUUGCAAUAAGCAUGCCAUCUAUCUAAAGUAGUCAUAGGAUAAUAUAACAGUCAUUAGAAUUUUAAAUUAGUAGCGAUAUUCAAUAUCACAUCUCCUAAAGCAGAAUAAAUCAAAAUUCUUAUAUAUAUAUUAUGUGUGAGAUAUUAACAAGUAGGUUUUUUAUUAUUAAUACAUGUGGAUUCUUUGGCCAUAGUUUGAUCCUUAAAGUUUGCUUCAAUCAUUGUGCUCGUGUAUGUGAUGGGACUGAUAUUCGAUGUUUAACUGAAUGACAUGUUAUUAUUUGUCAAUUUUUAGACCAUCAGCAAUUACAGAUGGGUAAAUUGAAUCUUUGUGACUUGUUUGUUGCAACUGGGUGUUUGUGAAUUUAUUUGACAACCUUCUAGGUGCUUAUUGUUGAGGUAGGAUUUGGCUGCCUUAACCUCAUUCAUAUGAAUUCAUAUUGUAGUUGGUUUCUGUUAGAAAUAAGACGUGAAUAUUUAGGAGUAUAGUAAGUAGCAAUGAGUUUAUUCCUCUUUUGUAACCCUAUUUUUUAUUAUAAAGAUCAUAUGUGUGAACAAUGUUAAACACACGAUUAUCAAAUCACACUAGUUUCUAUAAUUGGGCAUAGAGUUUUAUAAUUGUUUCUUUUGUAUGAGCUUAACAGCCUUCAUUUCCAGCAGAUCCUAUUCAAAUCACAUUGAUUCUGGGAGCUAAAACUAGAGUACGUGAUAGUACUUACAUAGAAGGACAGAAAGCACAUGGCAUGGCAUCAUGGGACAAUGUCAUGGAACAAUAUGCAGGAUUGCAUACUGAUCCAAAUAUCUAGGAAAAGUUUCUCAUUUUGUUAGCUAAGGACAAUUAUGUAGCAAAAAGUUAGAAAUCAUGUUGAUGGCAAUAACCUAUUCUUGUUUCC